AUCAAUUAAGCUUCUAUUUUCUGAGAGGACACAUGAUGCACUCAGACUUGAAUGCAAGUCUUGCUUCCUCCUGACAUUUCAUCAAUCUCUAUGCAAAUGCUGACUGGCCCUACCUAAAACUUUGAGCUGAAAAUGGAAGACAGUAAGAGAAAAGAUCUAUGCAUAGAGAGGAGAAAAAGAAAACAGGAGAAACAGAAAAUCACAGAAAAGGAAAGGGAAGAUUUGGUGUGAAUCUGGGCAAUCCUACCAGGGAGAAAUCCAAGGUCAAAGUAAAACAAUGACUUAUAAUGAGAAACAGGAAGACUACACAGUCUUGUUCCUUAUCUACAUGGAAAACCACAAGUUGGCUGGCAUUGAGACACUCUCUACCUUCCUGUAAAUCCUGUAUUAAAACCAGUUCAAGAACCCUGGAGAAGUUUCCAGCUUCCUAAGAUCCUUAUUUCUUAUUAUCCUAUGUGAAAACUGAAAGUCAACAAUUUAUCUUGCCUACUCAUACUUUGAAGAAGUAAAUCUCAACCGAGAGAUACUUGAAAGUAGAGACAUUUUUUACUUACCACAUUUUCCUUAUCACAAUGUGAACUGAAAUCACUUGAUACAAUUGCAGCAUACUGGAGCAGCACUUUAUUGAUAGUCUAAGAAAGAAAACAUUGUGAACUUUACCCAGUUGUUUGCAGCUUUGGCCCUUCCAUACAAGUUUUCUGAGGUCAGAGAUUAUGCUUAUUCAUGACUACAUCCCUCAAGGUGGCUUAUAGUGUGUGCGAGUGAGGCAUAUCAGCAAGCACUUGUUGAAUGAACAGCCUAAAACCUCAGUCAUCAUUCAAUCCAUGGAACCAGACUUAUAUUUAGAUCAGCCAGACAUAGAACUGUAAACAAAAGGUGACAAUGUCCAAAUGCUACCAAGGUUUGCGGGUUGUACCAUUGCUGACAACAGAAAGAUACUGCUUUGGAGUGUGGGGAGAAAUUUGUGCUCUGGAAGCACUUAGAUGGAGUCUUGCUCUGUUGCCCAGCCUGGAGUGCAAUGGCACAAUCUUGGCUCACGGCAACCUCCACCUCCUGAGUUCAAGCAAUUAUCCUGCCUCAGCCUACUAAGUAAUUGAGAUUACAGGUCUUACUGGGAAUGAAGUGGAUCAUCAAUCAGACUAAUCAACAUUGGACUUGGCCUACAACUUUGCUGGUUUAUAGCUUCCAAUGGGAAAAAGUCACUGCUGCAUCUUACUCAUUUUUUUUUUCUGUAUUAAAAUAAAAGGCCAACAAUUUU